GUGUACCCGCGGCAAGACGGAAAGACCCCGUGAACCUUUACUAUAGCUUGACACUGAACAUUGAGCCUUGAUGUGUAGGAUAGGUGGGAGGCUUUGAAGCGUGGACGCCAGUCUGCGUGGAGCCGACCUUGAAAUACCACCCUUUAAUGUUUGAUGUUCUAACGUGGACCCGUAAUCCGGGUUGCGGACAGUGUCUGGUGGGUAGUUUGACUGGGGCGGUCUCCUCCUAAAGAGUAACGGAGGAGCACGAAGGUUGGCUAAUCCUGGUCGGAC
rnacentral:rRNA from 1 species